rnacentral:rRNA from 1 species
UGGGGAAUUUUGGACAAUGGGCGAAAGCCUGAUCCAGCAAUGCCGCGUGUGUGAAGAAGGCCUUCGGGUUGUAAAAGCACUUUUGUCCGGAAAGAAAUCCUUGGCUCUAAUACAGUCGGGGGAUGACGGUACCGGAAGAAUAAGCACCGGCUAACUACGUGCCAGCAGCCGCGGUAAUACGUAGGGUGCAAGCGUUAAUCGGAAUUACUGGGCGUAAAGCGUGCGCAGGCGGUUUGCUAAGACCGAUGUGAAAAUCCCCGGGCUCAACCUUGGGAACUGCAUUGGUGACUGGCAGGCUAGAGUAUGGCAGAGGGGGGUAGAAUUCCACGUGUAGCAGUGAAAUGCGUAGAGAUGUGGAGGAAUACCGAUGGCGAAGGCAGCCCCCUGGGCCAAAUACUGACGCUCAUGCACGAAAAGCGUGGGGAGCAAAACAGGAUUAGAUACCCUGGUAGUCCACGCCCCUAAAACGAUGUCAAACUAGUUGUUGGGGGAUUCA